rnacentral:lncRNA from 1 species
AUGUCAUCCACUGGUCUUAUCCUUAUGGAAAUAGACAGUACACGGAUCUGGAAUGGAAGCAAAUAAUAACCGGGUCUCCAGAUUCCAUCGUAUCACAGAACAUAGAACCAAGAAAGUACCUUAGAAGUCAUCUGAUCCAGUCACCCCUGUUUUACCAAUGAGGAAUCUAGACCCAGAAGAAGUUAAAGGACUUACCCAAGAGUACCCAACAACUCUCUCACCACCCCAGGCUCCCAUCUUUGUGUCUCUCCUGUGUGAGCUGUUCCCUGAAGUUCUUCCUGAACUUGCACAUUGCCUUUCCCUUUGAUUUUAAAUCCUUGGCUCAAAUGACAUGCCCGGACUAUAUCGUGUGAUAUGAGCUUGAAAAGUAAUUUACGUACAAGUCUUGAAAGCAAAUCAAGUUUUAAAACAAAGUAGCAUCUACUCUGCCCCAGCCUUGACAUCUUAUUACAUAGCAAAUGCUGGCUUUUUAAUUUCCCUAAUCAAGACUGGUCCUAUUUAGCCCACCUCCUCAAGGGGUCCCAGCACUAGCCCCACUCCGACGCCUGAUGAAGUUCCAGAACAGUGGAAUCAAGCACAGAGAUGGGCACGCCUCUUUACAGAACCAAAGAUUCAGAACUGUGCCUUACCCUUUGCUUAUGAGGCGGAGGAGGAGGAAGAGAAAGAACCACCGCAAAGAGAGAUGGCAACAAAGGUAAAAUGAAGGCCGGGCAGCCGAUCCCACUCAGGCUGACCACAGUGAGGGAGCAGCAUUAAAAUGAGAAAGGAUCAGGUCUCGAAGCCCAGCCCUUCCCGCUGAAUCUCGUCCUUUGCUUCAUCCAUUCCAUUAAAUAAGUCAUAUUGAAAAUAAAUUAUUAUUAAUACAACAGUAGCUAACA